AAAAAAUCCACAUGGAAUCAGGGGCGGAUCCAACUUGGGACAUGGGGGUUCAGUCAAACUUUUGGGUGAACAAACAAAAAAACAAACAAACUGUUACUAGCUAGUUGUAUUAAGAGAGGUUUAAGGCUCUCAAAUUAACAAGGAGGAGGAGAAGAGCUUCUUCCAGAUCUAGAAGAGAAGCUAGUAGGGUUAACGAACGCAAGCGAAUUCAAGGUCCCAGUGGGGUGGGGGAGAGAGAUGAAUCAGAAAGAGGCUCACCAGGAUCCCCUCCCCUACUCUCCUCGCCAGAUGGAGAUCGGCAGCCGCGACUCGUCUUGGCGGCGGCGCAAGGAGCGGAGGAGGAGCCAACGAGACGGGAGAUUUCUCUCUUUUACGCGAUAUACUCGACUACUGCCCAAAUGGGCCGCCCGGCCCGGCAGCGCCCAGGCACGACCGGACCUAGGCCCAGUCAAGGCCCCUUCUCUUUGGACAGUGCCUUAUAAGGCUGCACUAAGUCUAUUUUGGGUCCCCAACUAUUUUUCUUUGACUUAUAUAAGGCUGAAUUGAGUCUAUUUAGGCUGGAUUUUCCGGAUUGAAACUACAAAGCGGUAUUUUUGUUUGAAGCUAUGGGAUCAAAGUCCAGUGUCCUCGAUGCAAACUUUGUCUGAUGAAUUGACAACAAUUAAUCAGAUAAUACAGUUGCAUAUGAAAAUUACUAGUUAUGUAUGUGCGCAGAUAAAGAGAUACAAAACCACACAUCAAGUGUUUAUUCUAUCCAUAUACUGUCAGGUUUAUAUUGGCUGUGUGUGACGGGGCAAAUAUCGAUCGGUUGUGUGUGGCGGGGCGACUGAUGACUAGAGAGGUGGAGAUAUUAGGGAUGGGGGGAGAGAAAAGGGGGAAGGGGUGAGGUGACCUUUGGAGGGGUAGAACAGUUGGUGUGCUAGCGACGACGACGGAGCUCGCAAUAGGUGUAGGGGGCCGAGACGGUGUAGAGGCGAUAAUUGACCGCCACGCCGUGCGUGGCUGGCGUUGAUUAGGGUCCGGGGGCAAUGGAGUCGGGGAGGAUUGAAGGCGGCGCGCGGCGGCAGAGGAGAGAUGAGGGCAACGAUAAAAACUAUGGCGAGCUGGCGCCCUUGACAGCUCUUGCGGGGCAGAGGACGUACAGUGCAGCGGCUAAUAGGGAGGGGAGCGCUGAUAAGCAUGGCGGAGCGGUUUCUGGCGUUAGCACGUGCAGGAGCAGAAUUGGGGAGAGGCGCAGGGGUGAGUGGGGAUGUGGUGCACGAUUGAGAGAGGUGGGAUUGAUCUCGAUUGUUGGGAGCUGUUGAGUGAUGAAUGAAAGAACGAGUGAUGAGUGAAACCACUUGCUACACUAUAUGGGGAAUAGAUAGAGGUAGAGAAAUGGGAGAGGUUUAUCCUCUCUUUCUCAAAAAAAAAAAGAAAAGAAAAGAAAGGACCCAACCGUGAUCAACCACUGCCUCGAUUCCCUUGGUCCUCCGAGAAUCUCGCCGGCGAUGGCUGGGAGUUGGUUACUGCGCCGCGUUCUCCCACCCCAGCUGGUUAUUUAUAGUGCGGCGGCACUCCUCCAUUCUCCUCCAUUCCCUAAUUUGUAUAAUGGUUCUCUUUGCAAAAAAUGUGCUGGUGACCAAACUAAUAGGAGAAUGGUUAGGGAGUCUAAGAUUCAGGAGGUCUCUUGUGGAUAGGAAACAUUUGGAAUGGGUUAAACUUAAUCAACUUUGUCAGUCAAUUGAACUGACUGGGGAGGAGGAUAAAGUGGUUUGGAAACUGACUAAAAAUGGCAUUUUCACUGUUAAAUAUUUCUAUAAAGCAAUGAUGAUUCAAAACACUGGCUUUCAAUUCAAGAAUAUUUGAAAUUUAAAAUUUCUCCUAGAGAGAAGGUUUUCCUGUGGCUGAUGUUGAAAAAUUGCAUUUUAACCAAAGAUAACUUGCUGAAAAGGGGAUGAAAAGGGAAGGAGGCAAAAAAAUGAAACUGUGGAGCAUCUUUUUAAAAUGCCCAAUUUCAAGACUCAUUUAAAACAUAGUGAGUUGUGUGUUUGAUUUGAAACCAAUCCAUAAUAUACAUCACUUGUUUGGGAGGUGGCUUUAGGAUUUUCAAAAAAAAAAAAAAGAUAAAAACUUUGUGGUGGUGGGAAUUGCAGGCAGCUAUUGUUUGGACUAUAUGGAAGUUCAGAAAUGCUGCAUGUUUCAAAAAAUAAAAGAACACAAGAUCCUUUAGAGCUGAUAUAUGCUGUUUGCUCCUGGAUCAAUCUUUGGUCCAUUUUGCAGAAAUCGGGGGACACACAAGACAGGCUUCAACGGGACGCGGCUUUGUUAAAGACGGUGGUCACUGACUUCUACAACACAAGAUUUGGAUAGAAUCCAUAUGUGAUGCGGAUACAGGGGAUAGGAUGAAGAUUUAUGCCUUCUAGUGGCUGCAGUUUCUGUUUUUUUUUUCUCUGCUGAAUCUUGUUCCCUUUUGCUGUAAGACUGUUAAAGACUUUGUAUUCUUAUUUCGUUAAUGAAAUGGGAGAGGUCUAUCCUCUCUUUCUAAAAAAAAGCCCAACCGUGGUCAACCACCGCUGCGAUUCAAAAAUUUCAACUCAAAUUUUAAAAUUCAAAACUUUCAACUCAGAAUUCAAAAACUUUGAAAUCAAAUUCAAAAAUUUUCAAGUCAAAAUUUGAAACCUUCAUAUGAAAAUCCAAAACUUUUAACCCAAUAAUUAUUCAUUUUUUAUUAAAAGGCUAAAUGAUAAGAUUAGAGAAGGGAUUAGACGACCUAAGCAUAUACAGGAGUAUCGCUAAGCGCUAGGAUUAGUGCGCGCAGCUAGCUUACCGUUGUGGCGCGUGCGCGCGCACUGGCAGCCCCCGAGGUUUAUCCUUUUUUUAAAAAAAAGACAAAAAAAGAGGGAAAAACAACCGUGGUCAACCAACCACCGCCGCUAUUCCCUGGCGCACCGGGAAUCUCGCCGGCGAUGGCCGGUAGUUUGUUACGGCGCCUCACUGGCUAUUUAUAGACUACAGUGCGGCGGCAGUGGCACUGAUCCCAUUCUGCGUCGAGCUGCCUAGCUAUCGAUCUUCGUACGUAAAUACGUCUCCCUCGUCUCCGGCGAGCCACCGGCCGUGAGAGAUGGCGCCGCCGUCAGCCAUGAACACGUCGAGGGCGGAGGAGAAGGCCAUCGACGACUGGCUCCCCAUCACCUCCUCCCGCAACGCCAAGUGGUGGUACUCCGCUUUCCACAACGUCACCGCCAUGGUCGGCGCCGGCGUCCUCAGCCUCCCCUUCGCCAUGUCCGAGCUCGGCUGGUACAUAAUUCAUUCAUCAUUUCUCCUUCUCCAUUUCAUUUCAUCGUCCAUGGAUGAGUGUUCGAUUUUGUUUUUUUUUGUAGGGGUCCGGGGGUGGCGGCGAUGAUCAUGUCGUGGGUGAUCACGCUGUACACGCUGUGGCAGAUGGUGGAGAUGCACGAGUGCGUGCCGGGGCGGCGGUUCGACCGGUACCACGAGCUCGGGCAGCACGCGUUCGGGGACAAGCUGGGGCUGUGGAUCGUGGUGCCGCAGCAGCUCGUCGUCGAGGUCGGCGUCUGCAUCGUCUACAUGGUCACCGGCGGCAAGUCGCUCAAGAAGUUCCACGACCUCGUCGCGCCGCCCUCCGCGCCGCCGAUCCGGACCUCCUACUUCAUCGUCAUCUUCGGCUGCCUCCACCUCGUCCUCUCCCAGCUCCCCAACUUCAACUCCAUCAGCGGCGUCUCCCUCGCCGCCGCCGUCAUGUCGCUCAGCUACUCCACCAUCGCCUGGGCCGCCUCGCUCCACCACCACAACCACAACAAUGGCGCUGCCGCCGGAGGUGUGGACUACUCGCUGACGGAGGCGACGCCGGCGGGGAGGACGUUCAACUUCCUGAGCGCGCUGGGGGACGUGGCGUUCGCGUACGCGGGGCACAACGUGGUGCUGGAGAUCCAGGCGACGAUCCCGUCGACGGCGGAGCGGCCGUCCAAGGGGCCGAUGUGGCGCGGCGUCGUGCUGGCGUACGGCGUGGUGGCCGUAUGCUACCUCCCCGUGGCGUUCGCGGGUUACUACGUGUUCGGCAACGCCGUCGACGACAACGUGCUCAUCACGCUGGAGCGGCCCGCGUGGCUCAUCGCCGCCGCCAACAUGUUCGUCGUCGUGCACGUCGUCGGCAGCUACCAGAUCUACGCCAUGCCGGUGUUCGACAUGCUCGAGACCUUCCUCGUCAAGAAGCUCCGCUUCAAACCCGGCAUGCCUCUCCGCCUCAUCGCCCGAUCACUCUACGUCUGUAAGUGUGCUAGCAUGCACUAACACACACACACACACACACUUGAUUAGUGAUCCAAUUAAUUAAUUAAUUACCCCCUCCAAAACGGGAGAAUUUACCUUUUGCCAUCCUCUCAAAAUACCAGUUCUCAAAUGCCACUCUCCUAAAAUUUCAUUUCCAAAUACCACCUGGGUCCACAUGUCAGCCUCUUUUCCCAUUCAAAUAAAAGUGACGUGGGACUGGAUGGUGUGUGAGGCUGAUAUGUGGGCCCGGGUGGCAUUUGGAAAUGAAAUUUUGAGAGAGUGGCAUUUGAGGACUGACAUUUUGAGAGGAUGGUAAAAAGUAAAUUAUCCCCUCCAAAAGUAUUUUCUAUUAUAAUACAUAGAAAUAUUAAUAAAUAUAUGAUUUUAUUGAAGUACUUUUUUAAAACUAAUUUACACAUACGGUUUUCAUAUUUUUAAGAUAAAUAUUUUAGAAAUUAUUAACUAAUUUAAUUAAUAAUUACUCUCUCUGUCCUCAAUUAUAAGGCCUAUAUUUUUUUUACACGGUUUUUAAUAACAUACUUUAACUAGUAUCUUUUCCAUUUCAUGAUCCAAACAAAUAUAAAAUUAGCAUCACAUAAAAGUACUUUAAAAUAUAAAUCUAUUUUGAAAUAUAAAUCUAUUUUGAAUUUACUGAUAUAACAUGCAUAAAAUUUACUGAUAUAACAUGCAUAAUAUUUAGUAUAGAUAUAGUUAGUAUAAUUAUUAAUAAAACUACUAAGUUUGAUUUUUCUUAAAAAUAGAGUGUCCUAUAAUUUAGGACCGAGCGAGUAGUUGUCAAUUAGUCUAUCAUAUGUUGUUAAUUAGGAUCUAAUAAAUCUUAAUUUGUACUAAUUUUGGAGUAUUGAAUUUCGCAGUGUUCACCAUGUUCGUUGCCAUCGCGGUCCCUUUCUUUGGUGGACUGCUAGGCUUCUUUGGUGGCUUUGCGUUUGCUCCAACGACCUACUUCGUAAUAAUCUCUACCAUUAAUUUCUUUAUUAUUAGAACCUUCAUUAAAAAUGUAUAUAAUUUAAAAUCUCUCGUGCGUAUUAAUCUCCGUUUUUUCUAACUGAAAUAUGAACAAUUGUUUUUUCAGUUGCCAUGCAUUAUGUGGCUGUCGAUCAUGAAGCCAAAGAGGUUUGGCUUGUCCUGGUGCAUCAACUGGGUAAGUAGUAUUAUCCAUUAAUUAUUUAGCAUGUGCAUGGUCAAUUAACUAACUUGAUAAUUAUCCUCAUCUGAUUGUUAAUUAUAUAUCUUGUUAAUUUUAAUUCUUUAUAUAUUUUUGGUGCCUCAGUUCUGCAUCAUCAUCGGCGUUCUUCUGUCGGUGUUCGCACCAAUCGGAGGUCUCCGCUCGAUCAUCGUGAAUGCCCAGAGUUACAAGUUCUUCUCUUGAGUGAUUAAUUGAGAGAAAAGGUGUUUUACCGUUCAAUUAAGUGUGUUCUUAAUUAAUUAGGGGAUUGUUUUAGAUAAUGCACAGAGUUCUAUUUAAUUAAUUAGAUGAAAGAGAAAUUCGUGUGUCCCUAUGAGACAUCUGUGUGGAUUGAUAUAGUAGUCGAUCAAAUGAAGGCAUAUUAUUUAUUUGGCCUUUGUUUGUCGAUCUAGUACUCUAGCGUUAAUUUAAUUCGUGUCGAGUUUAUCCCAAUUUUUGAUGAUGUUUGUGCUCUAUUAUCACGUGGUGUGGCAUUCGUUUUAAGGGUUUAUGAUUGGUUCAAACUUCGUCCUAGUUUUUACACGAUUUGAACUUGAAAUCAAUUACUUUCAAUUCGACUCUUGCGCGAGUCUCACUAAAAAAAGUUAUCGAGUAAGAAUAUCGAGUAAGAAAAAAAAGGAUGUUGCUGUACCACGGGAAAGCAUGGCAGAUGGCGAGAACCAGGUACAUGAACAAUUAACCAAAACAUCAUAAACAUCAUAUGUACAAAUCAGCACAAAGAAACUUCAGCCACGCUACAAGCAGUUCGCUGGGAGGAGGUAAAGUCUCUUGUACACUCAAGUAAUAUAUUGCAGUAGGAGCCUCUCCAACUGUUUUUCCGUCAAAAAAAAAACCUGAGGAGAGCCGACGCUGAAACAAAAUUUGACCCAACCUCACACCUCUGGGAGGAGAGUGCCGAUGCUGAAACAGAAUUUGACAAGGUUUAAGAGAUCACACGAUUUCAAACUGAGGUUGACGAUAAUUGCGCCCCAUUCCUUUGGUAGGGUACUUUGCCAUAUCAGAUAUCCAUUGCCUCGGAGGCCGAUGAAGCAUUCUUCUUCUUGUUCUUUCUUUUCUUGUCCUUAGGGUCCUUCCCCUGCUUGGCGGAAUUGCUCUCCUUUCUCGCAGAGGGUGGCUGUGUUGACAACAGGUGCUGAUGGAUCGCCGCAAACGGGUCGAGCUGGAACUGCGGAUUGGUCAGCACAGCAUUCAGUUGGGCAGCCUCCCGUUGCCUGAAAGGAGAGACAAAGCCAGUCAAAAACCAUAAGUGGAAAGAAAGCAAAGAACGCAAGUGGAGGGGCAGAUGAGGCAAUUACACUAAAGCUUGCUUCGAUUUGCAGUUCAGUUUUGCUUCGGUGUGCAGAUUUGAGGCAUCUGUUUCAGGAAGGAACUCAGAGAGCAUUGAGAGAUCAUAUGCUUUCAGUUUCUUCUGGCGGCUCCUCUGUUUAGAUUUCUGCACAAAGAAAUUUAAAUAAUCACAACCCAUAACACUGAUAGUGCAAAGUAAAGCAAGUGUAACUUCCAGAAAACUACAAAUGGAGUAGCCCAGCUGCAAUAAAAAGAAUCAGUUGUAAGGAAGGACAGUGUGGAGAGAUUAAAGGCCAAGAACAGAACGGAGAGACUAAAGGUCUCAUUUCAGCAUCUACAAGUAUAUUUACUCUAAAAUAUAGAUGCAUUAACAUAUGAAAUGAACAGAAUUAAUGUUCGCAGUUUGUGUCUAGAAUAUAUGAAACCACAAGAUUGUAACUAUAUGUUGGGAAAUUCAUGAGUCAAGAGCCAACUGGUCUUGGCAUUUGUUUUUCCAUAUGGAGUUAGGCACGUAUGGGUUUCCUAGGAUCCUAGUCAUCCCAUCACAGUAGGAGGGAAUACAGGAGACAGUGGAUCAUCAGUGCAAGUACAAAAAGCAUAUUAGGGUUCCAAGCAGGUCCCAAGUACAAAAUCCAUUCUCAUAUCUGUUUAUGGAUAUGGUGUGGUUAUUUUGCUAGUCUUCACAUGUAGACAAGCAUUUGGAUGACAAUAUAAUACUUUCUUACGCAGAUAAUUUUUAGCAUACCACAAAUACACAGGACAAGAGACUAAACAUAGCUAGCGAUUGAGAAAAUCAGACUUACAAAUAUAUACUUGACCAAUACAUACAAUUUGGAAUUUAUCCUUGAAAUAUCUAAGCAUUGGUUGCGUUAUACGCCCACGCCACUCAUGGAGCAAAACAAUAACAGUAAAAACAAGCUGCAACAACAGAAGCUACAGAAAAUAUUCAAUUGCAACCAAAGGUGAAAAGCCAUACACCCAUAGAAUCUGCUGAAGUCUGAUUCAAGCUAGAGGCAUGUAGAUAUUUUUUGCCAGGGCAUGGCUUGUUUCUGUUUAUACUUUACAGCUGUCAUGUGAACAAGAAACAGCUGGUCUAGUUCACGUAUGGUGGACACCAACACCCCUAGUUUGGAUUUGUUCAGCAGGUUUAUUAGAUGAACGCUCCAUAAUAUUUUUUGGUUCAAUUAGUGAACAAAUAAGGCCAUAAGGAGGACAAUAUGCUUAAUAUUAUUGCAUAGUGUAAUUGAUUCCCCUUAGCUAGGUGUUGGCUGUGUUGAGAAGGAUUCAAAGGUUAUGGUCAUCAAGGCCAUGUUAAAAACAGAGAAUAGCUCCUGAUUUCUUUGCUAAACUUUUUGUGGCUUGUGCUAGUGAUGCAUUACAUUAUACCAGGGUUACAAACAUGACAAAAACCAGUGAGUAGUAACCAGUGCUUGGUUUUCUUGCAAUAGCCAUACCCGCUAUAGUGAACUGGAACCUAGACAAGCAAUUUUUCGUCUCGUGCUAUUAGAGGAACUUUUUGUUCAAAUAAGUUUUGCCAGAAAGUGCCUGGUUCUGCUCAGUACUGGAUGGGUUGGAUGUGCAGAGCACAUUCCUUAAGAGGUAAAUUCCACCUAGCAAGAGACUAGCUGAAGAGUGCACCCACACUAUUUAAAAACCCAGUCUUGCAGAAAUUAUUUACUAUUAGUAUCCGGGAGGUCCUAUUUCUUUCUUAGCUACAACCUACAAAUGCCACACAGAGGUUAAUUGGGGAACUGUGCACAGUAAUCAGUCAUGAAGCAUAGAUAUUUCAGUUCUGAGUGUAACCUAAAAAAUAUGGGAUUACGAAUUGAGAUCUAGCAUGCAAAACUGGUGUAUUAAGUCAAUAGAAACAGAAACGACAGGACAUGAUACUAGGUAGUUCGAAUUGUCAAAAAUCCAUUUUUUGGGCAAGAUAGUAUUCAAUGUUUGUGUACGAGGAACACACAAAUUUGCAAUGCUGAAGAGAAUUAAAGAACACUAUAAUAAUAAACGAGAGGGUCUAUAAGCACCUUGCAGAUAGUCUUUGUAGCAUUUAGGGAGGUUACUGCAUCUUUCACUUCUGAGAAACAAAAACAAAAAUAAAUCAAUUAUACUAUAAACCACAGUAAACAAAAAAACAUGCUAUUCCGCAAAAUAUAGUCAACGACUCAAGGUAGACAAGAAAAAGGUAGGAAAAUGAAACAGAGUCCAGCUAGCAGUAAGCCCAAUCAUAAAUCGUAAUCUAUCAAUGUUUCGACUUUCGAGUGCAGUACCACAAACUAAGCUACUAUCUACUUUACAAUAUACAUGUUCUGUAAACACAAGUAAUCUACAAAAUAAAAGGUAUACUAAAAAGGCUACAACUAUUUAUAGAAAACAAAAGAGGUUUUAUUAUCACAAAACACUAAAAACAACAAGCAUGGAACAUGAACGAAGAAGUAUUUUUAUUCAUGGAUAAGAUAUUUCCAAGCUUUCACUAUUCAAGAAAAAAAAAAGCAUUGCCCCUUUUACAGACAUAUUAAUUUUCUUGGAAUAAACUAAUAAUUAGUUGUCCUUCUUUACAAAAAUGAAUAACAAGCAUUUCAGAAUAGCAGUGAAGUAAAACAUAACAAGCCAAUACCACCAUCCUCUGGUCUUUUGAAUCAAUCUCUAUACAUUAAUCAACAUUUGCCUUAUACACUCCCUCCAUCCAAAAUAUAAGGCCUAUCAGUUUUUUUACAUGUUCUCCAACAUUGUAUUUUGGAAAUUAAAUUAUCUUACAACAUAUUAUCAGCAAUUACAAAGGUACCGUUGUAUACGAAAUACCACAUGCAUGACAUUAAACAUAUACAUUGUUAGUUCAAUUACUAGCCAAAGAUUGCAAAUGUUGAUUUUUCCUGGAAUAAGGGAGUACAGCCAAAAAAUAAUGGAAAGGCACACCUACUUGUGUAGAAGCUGAGCUUCUUCUCAAGCUUCUGUUUGGACUUCAGUUCAUGCUUCUUAGGUGACCCAGUCCUGAAAGCAGGGGCGGAUCCAACUUGGGACAUGGUGGUUCAGUUGAACCCCCAAACUAUUCGGUGAACAAACAAACAAACAAACAAAAUGUUACUAGCUAGUUGUAUUAAGAGAGGUUUAAGGCUCUCAAAUUAAUAAGGAGGAGGAGAAGAGCUUCUUCCAGAUCUAGAAGAGAAGCUAGUAGGGUUAACGAACGCAAGCAAAUUCCAGGUCCCGGUGAGAGAUGAAUCGGAAAGAGGGCUCACCAGGAUCCCCUCCCCUCCCCUCC
rnacentral:lncRNA from 1 species